UACGUAGGAUCCAAGCGUUGUCCGGAAUCAUUGGGCGUAAAGAGCGUGUAGGCGGCCCGGUAAGUCCGCUGUGAAAGUCCAGGGCUCAACCCUGGGAUGCCGGUGGAUACUGUCGGGCUCGAGUCCGGAAGAGGAGUGUGGAAUUCCUGGUGUAGCGGUGAAUGCGCAGAUAUCAGGAGGAACACCAAUGGCGAAGGCAAUUCACUGGCACAUUCCUGACGCUGAAACACGAAAGCGUGGGUAGCGAAUGGG
rnacentral:rRNA from 1 species